UCUCCUUUCUGUAGUGUACACAGCAAUUCUAUCCACACCAAGAUCCUUGGAAUAUCACCUUCUAUUAUCAAGUGUGUGUAUGUGUGUGUGUGUUUUCUUUCUAAUGGGAGGAUGAUACUCUCUCUUACUGUAAUAGUGUUUUCUGAGCAUGUGACACUGAUCUGCUUAUUUUCUAUGAUAUCUACAUUCCCAUGCAUUAUGCUGUCUUCCUAAUGCAGAGACCAUGGACUGAUAUGCCCAGGCCCCUGCUGCUCCAGCAAGCAACUGCAAACAGCUCUAGAAAUGCUGUAACCCUGCUGUCCUGACUGGCCCCCAGUGAAUGAGCAGGAUGAGUUGGUGAUGGCUCCAAACUUUGCCAUUGAGUGUUCAGAUCUGCACUUUAGGGAGUUUGAAUAGACACAACAGCAUCUGUUGGCAGCAUCUCAAAGCACCUAUAAGACAGUUGGGGAAGAACAUCUGGAAGACAGUUAAGGAACAGCAAGUGAGAAGCAGAGAGAAGCGAAUAGGUGGAAGCCACAGUUGGCAGAAGCCCUAAGGAAGAAGUUCAUUUUCACCGUAUAUUACACCAUGAUGAAGGGAUUUUCAUUUCACAAAGGUCUGGUGGUGUGUUUGAAAGAAAUGAAGCCCAGGUGGUGGCUGAAUCGGCGGAGGUGCCUCUGUCCAGAGAAGCCACGAGAGCCAGGAGGCAUUUCCUGAGUAGAGGAAAACAGCUACACACACGAAGGACCCGGAAUAUUGAACCCCAAGGUUCGACAGACUGAGGACAGAGGAUAGCCAAUUAAAAUGAUCGAUUCCCAAGUGAUUCUUACAUGACAGUAUAAUCUUUAAAAACAUAGCAAGCUAUUUUAGAAGCAGGACCACACAAUAAUUUGUUAAAACUGAAGUUUUGUGAAAGUAAGAGUUUCAAUAAACUUGAUUAAAAUCAAGGUCCAUUUCUCAUCCACAUUGAGUUUCUCAGCCAAAUCGAAAAUGAGCAAUGUAAAUACUAGUUAUUUUAUAACUUGUAGAUUUGGAGAGAUCCCAAUUUUUAUAAUUUUUG
rnacentral:lncRNA from 1 species